rnacentral:tRNA from 1 species
CCUUCGAUAGCUCAGUUGGUAGAGCGGUGGACUGUAGAAGUAAUAAAUAUUGGAAUCCAUAGGUCGCUGGUUCAAAUCCGGCUCGAAGGA